rnacentral:SRP_RNA from 3 species
GGCCAGGUCCCAUGCAGUGGGUUGCGUGGGCAACGGGUCAGGCUGGAAACAGAGCAGCCCAUCCAUUCGGCUCAGGUGCCGUGGUCAACCUGGUCGUC